ACUCCUACGGGAGGCAGCAGUGGGGAAUUUUGGACAAUGGGGGAAACCCUGAUCCAGCCAUGCCGCGUGUAUGAAGAAGGCCUUAGGGUUGUAAAGUACUUUUGUUAGGGAAGAAAAGCUAGUUUUUAAUAAAAUUAGUGAUGACGGUACCUAAAGAAUAAGCACCGGCUAACUACGUGCCAGCAGCCGCGGUAAUACGUAGGGUGCAAGCGUUAAUCGGAAUUAUUGGGCGUAAAGCGAGUGCAGACGGUUACUUAAGCCAGAUGUGAAAUCCCCAAGCUUAACUUGGGACGUGCAUUUGGAACUGGGUGACUAGAGUGUGUCAGAGGGAGGUAGAAUUCCACAUGUAGCGGUGGAAUGCGUAGAGAUGUGGAGGAAUACCGAUGGCGAAGGCAGCCUCCUGGGAUAACACUGACGUUGAGGCUCGAAAGCGUGGGGAGCAAACAGGAUUAGAUACCCUGGUAGCUACGAG
rnacentral:rRNA from 1 species